GCCCGCCUAGCUCAAUCGGAUAGAGCGUCAGACUCUUAGGAGAUCACUUGGAUGGGCAUCUGAAGGCUGCGAGUUCGACCCUCGCGGUGGGCU